rnacentral:misc_RNA from 1 species
GAUGAAGAACGCAGUGAAAUGCGAUACGUAAUGUGAAUUGCAGAAUUCAGUGAAUCAUCGAAUCUUUGAACGCACAUUGCGCCCGCUAGUAUUCUGGCGGGCAUGCCUGUCCGAGCGUCAUUUCAACCAUCAAGCCCCAGGCUUGCGUUGGAGCCCUGCGGCUGCCGCAGCCUCCUAAAAGCAGUGGCGGGCUCGCUAUCACACCGAGUGCAGUAGAUUACUCUUCGCUCAGGGCGUGCAGCGGGUUCCGGCCGUGAAACCCCCUACUUUUAAAGGUUGACCUCGGAUCAGGUAGGAAUACCCGCUGAACUUAAGCAUAUCAAUAAGCGGAGGA